UGAUAGGCCGGAUAUGGAAGCCCUGUAAGGGGUGGAGUUGACCGGUACUAAUAGGCCGAGGGCUUGUCCUCAGUUG
rnacentral:rRNA from 1 species